CAUAUACCUACCACACAGCCCACCUUCAACUCACAGCACUGACACAUCAUCACAUCCCACUUUAUCUUACAAACUCAUGUCAUAAUAUUUAUUCCCAUAAAUAUUUUUAUGCAUUCAGUUCAAUACUGGAUAUACGGUUUAAGAUAGUUUAAAUAACAUUAAUGCAAUGCAAUAUGAGGUUCAAGUAAUCAUUGCUUUUACAUUUUUAUCACUGAAUAACCCAUAGCUCAGGGUGCAGAUAUUGUCAGCUACAUCUGCAGCUUUGCAGUGUUACAAGAACAUAUAUGCAUGUGUGUUUUCCAUGCAGUGUUCAAGUGACGGUGGGAAAAAUUGUCAGACCCGUCAAAAAUGUUCUACCAUGUCGACUUGAAGCAAUGAGGCCUGUGUGUGCUUCCUACAGAACCGGUUCUUUGUGUGGUUAUGUUAGAUGAGAGGUUUUUCCAGUGUUUUUUUUUUUUUUUUUUUUAGUAUUAGUGGUGCUACAGUGCAGUGUGUUUAUCUAGCUUAUAGGACUUUGAACCAAAACUAUUUUCUGCGCGUGAAGCUACAAUUACGAUGCACAAAGUGACACAAAACAGAGUGAAGGAAUCCCAGCACGGAUUGCAGAUCACACUGGGAAGUUACUGAAUUCCACCUGAAGGGAGCUGUGUAUGGAAAAUUCUCGGGAGUCUGUGGGAAUAAAAUAAAAAAAAUAGCUUUGGACCCCAAAUCGCUUGACAAAUCAACGACUGUAUCUUUCAUAAUUGCUAUUUAUGCCAGUUAUGUAAUCUGACCUCAUAAUCAGUUAUGAUAACAAACCGCACAGUCUGUAGUGCAUGGAGAGAAAUCUGGCUCUUACUUAGCACACAGAUUAAGCAACAUGCACAGAAAAGAGGCGAGUUUAUGUCUCUCUCUCUCUCUCUCUCUCUCUCACACACACACACACACACACACACACACACACUUCCAGCAAGGCGUUGCGGACACCGGCAGCUGAAAUAAAAGCAGGAUUUUGGUGCAACUACACUGUGUGCCGUGUUUUUGUUCACACUUUAAAAAAAAUACAAGUCGACCUAAAAAAAAACGUCGCUUUCCGAUACACUGAAUUUCUGUGAGUUAGUGCAAAUGAUCGCACUUGACAAAGCAAACAGGGGAGCAGUGUGAGAGUUGACUUGGCUGCAGUAGGUGCAGUGGGAGAAGGAGGAGGAGGAGGAGGAAUGGUGAAGUGCUCCUCCAAAAAAAAAAAAAAAAAAAAAAAACACUGCCGACAACUUUCCCUCCUCAUCUACAAACCUGAGGAAAUAAUCCAAGCAGCUGGUUAGUUUUUCCUCAUUUAAUAAAAAAUGAUCUGCUAUUUUUUUUUUCUUUGCGUUUAUUUCUAUCCCACGCGUGAUGGAUGGCCUUCUGAGACUUUUCCACGGCGUGUGUGGCACGAGCGCAGAAAGACAGACACACACUGGGAGAGAGAGAGAAGGAGAGAGAAGGAGAGAGAGAGGGAAAGCGCGCGCGCUUCGAGUCCUGCUUCUUCACUGACCAUGUGUCAGAUUGAGGAGUUCCAAUCCUGAGAGCUGUCUCAACCAGAGAGCUGUGAGAUUUUACCAGCGUGAGUAUGGAGCCUCGGUGCACACGUUCACCCCACCACUGAUUAAUGCACUCGGAAACCACAAGUGAGUGUUUCAUGCAGGUUUUGUCCCAAACUCGGGGGAAAUCCUCUAUACGUGGCAGCUCAGGAACCCCUCAGCUCCGUUAUGUAAGAGAAAUGAAUUACUGUAUAUGCUUUUUAUUCUACAGUAGAAGCUGUUCUGUGUGCAGUUUAUUAUGAAAACUAUAACACGUUGCUCUAUUAAACUUCUGUGCUGCUUGUGUUUCUUUGCUUUUUUUUUUUUCAUUCCAUGCUCCAGCUGGUUUUAACCUGCACUUAUCUUUAAUGACUGGGUGAUUAAUAAUAAUAAUAAUAAUAAUAAUAAUAAUAAUAAUAAUAAGUCUAUUAUUAGGUAUGUGAAAUCAUUUUAAAGUGUCCUGCAGAAACCCAUUUUUAGCUUAAUAGAGAAAAAGAAUUUAUAGCAGGAAAUAGUCUAUUUAUUUAAGUAGUAUUUACUGCAGAACAUGGCAUGAUUUAAGAUAUAUAAAUCCUGCUAAACAUGGCAGAAAAAAAUCAGACUUUAGAUGUAUUAAAUAUAUUUGUAAUGAUAUAGUGUAAUUUGAUGACAGACUAAUCAGCACAUCAACAUUUUCACCUGUUCAUCACUCUGGCAUUUUGACAAGUUCAGAUUCAUAAUGUUGUUUUAUUUAAGAAAUUAUAUGUAAAUUACUUUGCUUUUCCCUAUUGAUCAGAUUCAUAAUGUUGUUUUAUUUAAGAAAUUAUAUGUAAAUUACUUUGCUUUUCCCUAUUGAUCUAAAAGCAAAUAUAUUAUGUCAUGCAUAUAUUGUAUAUUCUCUUGUUUUCAGGUUUGCAUUUACCUGACUUCUUUAUAGACUAACCAUUGUAUUAAAGCAAUCAUUUUAUAUAGCUCUAUGAUUGUGUCAAAUUUACAAAUUUUUAAUUGUAAAAUAUAAAUUUUUAAAUCUUAAUAUCACAGACUAAAUUUGGGUCAGUGUUUCUGUUCAAUGUUUUUAGUGGUCUUAGUACAAAUGUUAAAAAUCAAACUAAUUUUGAUGGUACACAACUGUCACAAGAUGUCAAAAGCACAAGGGCAAAAAUAAAAUUUUUGGACAUUUUGGCUAUUCCUUAUUUAAAAAUAAAAAUUUAAAGCAACUGACUGACAUAUAAUGUCUGACAUAAAUGUCU